GAUGAACGCUGGCGGCGUGCCUAAUACAUGCAAGUCGAGCGAACAGACGAGGAGCCUGCUCCUCUGACGUUAGCGGCGGACGGGUGAGUAACACGUGGAUAACCUACCUAUAAGACUGGGAUAACUUCGGGAAACCGGAGCUAAUACCGGAUAAUAUAUUGAACCGCAUGGUUCAAUAGUGAAAGACGGUUUUGCUGUCACUUAUAGAUGGAUCCGCGCCGCAUUAGCUAGUUGGUAAGGUAACGGCUUACCAAGGCAACGAUGCGUAGCCGACCUGAGAGGGUGAUCGGCCACACUGGAACUGAGACACGGUCCAGACUCCUACGGGAGGCAGCAGUAGGGAAUCUUCCGCAAUGGGCGAAAGCCUGACGGAGCAACGCCGCGUGAGUGAUGAAGGUCUUCGGAUCGUAAAACUCUGUUAUUAGGGAAGAACAUAUGUGUAAGUAACUGUGCACAUCUUGACGGUACCUAAUCAGAAAGCCACGGCUAACUACGUG
rnacentral:rRNA from 1 species